rnacentral:ncRNA from 2 species
ACAUUUGCGUGAAAUUUUGGUGGAUGCAAACCUCAAGUUUUGCAUGCUUAAAAGGGAAUCAGGUGUAAGUCCUGAACAGUCCCCGCUGCUGUAAUCCGACUUUUGGAUAAACUGUUGUUUAAAAGAAGUAAGGCUGAUAAUAUACCACUGUUAAUGAGAGACUUAAUGGGAAGGUAUCAGCUUUUCGGGAAGUCAGAAGACCUGCCAAAGUAAUGGUUCCACU